AUAAGAUGCCUGCGUUAUACAGUAUAGAAGACUGCGUGAAUACUGAAAUCUUUAUAACCUUUAUUAAAAAAAAGACUCAGGACAGAGUCACUGCCAUAAAUCAGAUUUAGGAGGGAGUCGUUCGCUUCAUUCCUUUUGACACUUGCACUUUUAUUUGUAUUUUACGGAUUAAACAAUGCAUUGGGUGUAUUGCAGAGGUUAUUAUCUGUCAAGACAGUUGAACCGAUGCUCCUUUAUUG